UACUAAUCUUGGACCCAGGCUCCUGUAAUGAGGCUGCCCUCAUUGAACUGAAUGUCCACCAAGCUACAGUUGAGUGGGAUCAUGUCUUUCGCCGUGGCUGGUUCACUCUCUGCAGUGAGGAUGGAGCCAUCGGCAUGAAAGUGGAUGCUGCUCAUGACCAAAACCGCUGGAGACCAGGUGCAGGAGGGGCAAACUGAUGCUUCUCAACAGACCGUGACACGGCUUUCUGAAAAUAAGCAGCAAUGACCAUUCGCCUUUCAGAAAACUCUAAAGACAAAGACAGGCGCGCAAGAUUUCAGUUAGAUGAGCUGUAUAUAGAUGAUCUGUAUACUGACCGAGGAAUAGUUCCAUCAGCUGUAUUUAGAAAACCAUUACGGAAUUCGUUAUGUCCAUUAAUAAGUCACGGAGCUCUUACUCCAUUGGUGGGAGAGGGAAAAUAAUAUAUAAGACAGGAAAUGAGUAAGAAGAACAGGAUCCCUGAGACAAGAGCGAUGGCAAGGAAGUGAACACUGAAGAAGCUCGGAGGGCGAGCAUGGGCUCUGACAGAUUAAGAGCUGAGCAGCUCUGGAACUCUGCUUUGCCACCUUAGUCAGUUCCUCUUCACACAGGUCUGCAAAGGAGACAAUCAUGGGACACGGAGAUGGACGUAUCCAUAGCAACAGGGAAAUUUUUGAUUUACUUUUGUACCCACAUGCACCUGAGCAGACACACAGUAUUCCUGAAAUAGACACACAGCGGAGCCUAUGAUUCCUGAAAUAACAGUUCUGGUCACUGAGCAUCUAAAUCCUAGAUCAAGAACCUGCCUUGAACAAAUAUAGUUUUGGAUGUGUGUAAAGAACAGUGGGGACAAUAAGGCUUGCCUCUCCUAAAAGACCUCAGACCUGCUCAUGAUCCAGCCACUGUCCAGCUCUGGAGGAGCCAGCCCAGACUAGAGUCAAUGUCAGUUUUGUCCAGUGCUCUUCAGCUUGGUAAAUAUCUUCAAUAUCAUCCCUGCUAAGACACGGUCUGCAAUAAGUGCUGAGCGCUCCCUUUCCUUGGCCUUCCAUUUUCUGAGUCAUUCUGAGUAUCUGCCAUGAGUUAACCUACAUGAUUGCUGGCUGCAUGACCCCUUCCCUCUUUACGCUCAAACAAAUCAAGGGAUGGAUGAGUUUUGAAUGUCCAGCCUGUGGCAGUUGCUCAAUAAAUGUUUGUUGAGUUGAAUUCAGCUAGAAUGUUCCAUUUUCAUGACAAAGCAUCCCAGGGUGAUUACUGCAGCUGUGGAAGCCUUCUGAAAAAUUGAAUCCUUUGGGCUCCUUAGGAGCUCCUGAGGAGGAACAAAGGAACUGAAUGUAGUAAUGCAUUCAGGCCAAGGAAUCAAUCAGAGACUGGCUGAGUAUGCCUAACCGAAAGUUGAUGAGAGUCUGAAGGACCCUCGUCCACACUUGGAAUAUUUUGCUGGUUCAUUUAUAGCAAAUCUUUGGCACCAGACCAUACAAUGUGUAUCUACAGUUCACAGGUUUAAAUACGCUUCAGCAGCUACCGAGCAGCGUUUUUAAAAAGCAGAAAGGAAACUUGAUAAUUAAAGAUUCAUAAAACAAUCUAGGAAAUCAACAUGGAAAGACCAUCAGUGGUUCUGAAAACUGAACACCAUGUAUAAAGGCUGUAUCUCGGAAGGUCCCAUCAAGUCCAAUAGUAUCAGGAGCUGAGAUCCAAGCCUUCAAUAUGAGUCUUUGGAAGAAAUCCACUAUCAUUAUUGUUACAAACAGCGAUGUUAUAGCGUGGCCCAGGGAAACAAGAAAUGCCUGAGUGACAUGCUAAUCCUAAAGGGCUGUCCAAGGAACUUAUUAAUCAAAUAAAGCUUCUUACUAAAGCCAAGUGCAUAUCUGAAAAGUGUGGGAGCCACUGGGGCAGGAACUGCUAAGGACUGGCACCUCCAUUCUCUAGAAGUUCCAACAUCUAUGGAGAUGAUUUCAUAUCACGCAGUGCUGAGUAUUGCACCUGAUGGCUGAUGGACGGACGGAUGCUGCCCCGAAGGAGGAAAGCAUUUCCAGCACGUAAUUCCUGUUCACAAGAAGGAGGCAAGACAGGCGUGCCACUAUGCUCAGCCUAACCUGUUUUAUAAAAGGAAAAUCUCAGGCCACUAGGGAAAAAUAUUGGUCCAAGCCCUCUUCCACCAAAGCCUCUCAGAGACGAGUCAGAAGCUCAGCAAGAAAUCUCUCUCCUACAGCCAACUCCAUCUCAACACGAAUGAGAACGGCACCCCGUGACCAGGAUCUUGUUGCGGAGUUCUCCUGUUCCAGUGAGGCCUCCCUACCUGUGUGCCUCCUGCCCUAGCAAGGGAUCAAAACUUAAGUGAAUAACACGUUUUGUGAAGCG
rnacentral:lncRNA from 1 species